CUUAACCUGGGAAUUGCAUUCGAUACUGGUCAGCUAGAGUCUGGUAGAGGUAAGCGGAAUUCCGGGUGUAGCGGUGAAAUGCGUAGAUAUCCGGAGGAACAUCAGUGGCGAAGGCGGCUUACUGGACCAAGACUGACGCUCAGGCACGAAAGCGUGGGUAGCAAACAGGAUUAGAUACCCUGGUAGUCCACGCCCUAAACGAUGUCAACUAGCCGUUGGGUCCCCUUAAUAGGACUUAGUGGCGAAGCUAACGCGUUAAGUUGACCGCCUGGGGAGUACGGCCGCAAGGUUGAAACUCAAAGGAAUUGACGGGGGCCCGCACAAGCGGUGGAGCAUGUGGUUUAAUUCGAUGCAACGCGAAGAACCUUACCAGCCCUUGACAUCCUCGGAACUUGGCAGAGAUGCCUUGGUGCCUUCGGGAACCG
rnacentral:rRNA from 1 species